rnacentral:rRNA from 1 species
CCCUACUGCUAUCGGGGUGGGACUAAGACAUGCGAGUUGUGCGUCUCUAAGCUAUGGUAGAGACGCAGCGUACGGCUCAGUAACACGUGGCUAACCUACCCUUAGGACGGGGACAACCCCGGGAAACUGGGGCUAAUACCCGAUAGGUGAGGAGGCCUGGAAUGGUUCCUAGUCGAAAAGGCGUUGAAACCAUGCUUUUCGACGUCGCCUAAGGAUGGGGCCGCGCCCGAUCAGGUUGUUGGUGAGGUAACGGCUCACCAAGCCUAUAACCGGUACGGGCCGUGAGAGCGGUAGCCCGGAGAUGGGCACUGAGACAAGGGCCCAGGCCCUACGGGGCGCAGCAGUCGCGAAAACUCCGCAAUGCACGAAAGUGUGACGGGGCUACCCCGAGUGCCGUCCGCUGAGGAUGGCUUUUCCUCGGUGUAACUAGCCGGGGGAAUAAGGAGAGGGCAAGUCUGGUGUCAGCCGCCGCGGUAAUACCAGCUCUCCGAGUGGUAGGGAUGAUUAUUGGGCCUAAAGCGUCCGUAGCCGGCUUAGCAAGUCUCCUGUUAAAUUCAGCGACCUAAUCGUUGAGCCGCGGGAGAUACUACUAGGCUAGGAGGCGGGAGAGGCCGACGGUACUUCCGGGGUAGGGGUGAAAUCCUAUAAUCCCGGGCGGACCACCAGUGGCGAAGGCUGUCGGCUAGAACGCGCUCGACGGUGAGGGACGAAAGCUGGGGGAGCGAACCGGAUUAGAUACCCGGGUAGUCCCAGCCGUAAACGAUGCGGGCUAGGUGUUGGGGUGGCUACGUGCCACUUCAGUGCCGCAGGGAAGCCAUUAAGCCCGCCGCCUGGGGAGUACGGCCGCAAGGCNGAAACUUAAAGGAAUUGGCGGGGGAGCACCACAAGGCGUGAAGCUUGCGGUUC